UGCCAAGCUGAUAAGGGCGUACGGUGGAUGCCUAGGCGCUAGGAGCCGACGAAGGACGCGGUAGGCUGCGAAAAGCUCGGGGGAGGAG
rnacentral:rRNA from 1 species